GAAAGCCGUAUUCGAUGAAAGUCGCGUGUACGGCUUGGAGGGAGAUCUUUCAUAUCUUUCGAGAUCCACCCUAC
rnacentral:ncRNA from 1 species